UAGAAAUCGUCGAGCAAAUAUUGUAUCUUCCUAAUCUCGUACUAUCGUCGCACUAUCUUGGAAUUAUCAUACAGUACGAAUCGAAUUCUUUUGGGAAUUAAUUGGCUUCGCGCCGAAGGAGUCGAAGGAGUCGAACCAGAUGCAAACAAGCGUGAUUAUCCGGUAACCUCAGAUCAAAUGUGGUGGUGUGCACGAGACUCAGGAGAGGGUUGAGGGGCUAAGAGAGGGACUCGAGCGACUAACGGAAUAACUAAUUUAUCAAUUCUUCGGUUCGGUUGGCUUCGAUACCCCUGGCUAUAUUUGCGAAUUCGUGCAAACGAGGACUUCCAAUUCCCAAGGUGCAUCGUCGUCUUGUUUGGACACGAGAAGGACCCCAGAAAGCUUCGGCUUACGAGAUGUCAAUACGCUAUAAGUGACGGCGGUCUAUGCGCGCCGAACCAGAAAGCUUUCAAUGAUUGUACAAAGAGAUACAGAAGUGAUGUCAUUAUUUUAUUGAGUGAUUUGUGUCAACACUUCAUCUUAGAUCUGAAUUAUGACAGCGUAGAAAUUUUAUCAAUACUAAUAAUCAGUUAAAAUUCAAUUACUUUAGAAUUAUAGUAUUGACCUAUUCUGUUCCAAUUUGCAACACUUCAUUUAAAAAGCUAAUUCUCAAGGGAAUACUACAUCUCGUAUUUUAACUCGUUAUCGUACCGUGCGUUGGCGCCACCGAAGCUAUUUCACAGUUCAAUCAAUAUAACAUGUCGAAUUAUUUAAAAAAUUUUUCUAUUUAUUGAUAAUAUCAAUGAAAUAUUCACUAACGAUAGAAUAGUCCGAAUUUUCAUGACAGAAAUAAUAAACGAAAUCCUAUUUCUUCGUUGUUAACUCAGAGAAGUUAGCUACUUAAGGAGUAAGGAGAUGGUGGGUGGUAGAGUGCGAACGAGUUUCGUUCGCAGAACUUGAAAAUUUGUGGCGCGUAUCGUUCUCGACUCCAAUGGUCAAUACAAAUAGAUACGCUUGUAAUUAGAACGCAAUUUUGAUUGAAAAUGUAAGUUUUGUUGACACGCAAUUCACGGUACGAUAAUCAAACGAAUAUGCUCAUAUAUUUCCCGCAAAUUGUGUUUUCGUUUAAUAUUUGGUAUUACAAAAUUUUGCGAUCAAAGUGAGAGGAAACGUUGGAGUAUGGGAAGGGGGGAAGAGAUGGAGGUAAUAUUAAUUGAAUAGUAACAGGGAUAUCAUCAUCCUGGAUAAUAUUAAUUGAAUUCCUGAAUCCACAGAAAUGAUUUAUAUAAUAUUUGAGAAUAUAACAAUUUCAAGAUAAUUUGUGUGAUGGAUGAACGUAAUUGUGGACAUAUAUAAAAAAUAUACCUUAAUUUAUCUUUCUUUCGUGUCAGUAAGUUUGCGAUAUAUAUCUACGUAUUGUGUAAUAAAGUUAACUUGUAAUCGUUAAAAAUUUUAUACCACAGUUCUUAAGGUAGGCAAUUAAUCAACCGGCAAUGCAUCAGAAUAAUUAUCACCGUACGGCGAAUAACAUUAUCAGAUGUGUAAAAUGAGAUAACGAAGACUAUAAAAAAUAUGAAUUAUUGUUACAUAGGAAAAGAAAAGACUGGUGAAAAAACGAAGAUAGAAAAUGUCGUAUGCGAAAAAAGGAAAUUCCUCCCAAACGAGAAUGCAAAACAUUACGAAUUAUACCAAUCAAUAUUCUUCGUCUAAUCCUUCGGGAAUCCUGAUGCUCGUGUCACAUCACCUUUAUUUAUUUAUCUUUUUUUCUGCUGCUUUCUUUUUUCCUUUUUAGCCUCUCGCAAGUAUUUCAAGCAUUUCGAGAUUACCAGAAAACUGAAGAGUCAUAAAGCGACUCUCUUCGUCUAGAUUUCAAUGAGGGAGACUCCCAUGGGAAACGAUGGCGUUACUCCGAACCCCUUCAUAUUCGAACGUUAGCUAAAUAAAAGUAGUAGUACAAUAUCGGUUCUCUUGUAUUUUACACAUCUUUUCUACCUCUUCUACCUCUUCUUCCUCCUCUUUUACUUAUAUUAUUCUUCAGUGUCGCAUGUAUCAGUUUCUGUAAUAAAAGGCAAGCUGUUUUUUUCAGAAAUUUUCAUUUGUAGGAACCUCUUUCCUUCGUGUGAAGAGCUUGCAUAUGAACAAUCUUUUUUUCACUGGAUAAUGUAUAUGAGUUUCUCACUCUUUUCCUUUCAUACCGUUUUCUCUAUUUUCCUGAUUUUCCUUGUGUUUUUCAUAUGCAUGUAAAUGCUGAUGCAUUUGGUAGUCUUUCAAGUCUACCUAUCUCUUUCAAACCUUCACGUUUUUUUUUUUUUACGACAAAUUUUGUAAUUUGAUGAUCUAUUCUAUUAUAUUUCCUUAUGAAUAUUUAAAUUAUCAUCAAGCAGGU